UCGGCAUCACCUCAUCUCUGCUGAAUUAGCUCAUUUUUUCCUGGGAAGCAAUAAGCUGAGAGGAGAGGAAACUGUUCUCACUGAUUAACACUACACUGUGCUAAAGUUAGUCUCAUUUCCUCCCCUCUGCUGGAUAGCCACAGCAUCAGUUACUGUUUACGAUUAUAGAGGAACAUUAUAGAAUGUUUAAAACUGAUGUGGACAUGGCUGUCUGGGCUAACACCGAGGACAAUAACCCUCGAGGAGGGGGAGGAGGAGGAGGAGGAGGACAGUGAGCUGCUGCCUUGAAGAGAAUUGCUCAGCAAUUUCAGAGACAAGUUAAGAGUCAGCCACAAUGCUGCAAGUAUGGAAUGACACAGAUACCAGACCAGAAACAUAACGACAAGUACAGAGCUGCACCAGGAGAGAUUCGACACUGCAACUGGUGCGAGGCAAACAAAACCCUGCAAUCGUACCUCUCUCUCUUCUCUCGAUGUACUCGGCUGCUUCCAGCAAAGUUUGAAUAUUAAAAAAUGCCAUUUCUCCCCAGA